GGGGUGCUCGAGUGGCGAACGGGUGAGUAACACGUGAGUAACCUGCCCUUGACUUUGGGAUAACUUCAGGAAACUGGGACUAAUACCGGAUAGGAGCUCCUGCUGCAUGGUGGGGGUUGGAAAGUUUGGCGGUUGGGGAUGGACUCGCGGCUUAUCAGCUUGUUGGUGGGGUAGUGGCUUACCAAGGCCUUGACGGGUAGCCGGCCUGAGAGGGUGACCGGCCACAUUGGGACUGAGAUACGGCCCAG
rnacentral:rRNA from 1 species